rnacentral:rRNA from 1 species
ACGCUCGACAGUGCCAGCAGCCGCGGUAAUACGAAGGGGGCUAGCGUUGCUCGGAAUUACUGGGCGUAAAGGGAGCGUAGGCGGAUAGUUCAGUCAGAGGUGAAAGCCCAGGGCUCAACCUUGGAACUGCCUUUGAUACUGGCUAUCUUGAGUUUGGGAGAGGUGUGUGGAACUCCGAGUGUAGAGGUGAAAUUCGUAGAUAUUCGGAAGAACACCAGUGGCGAAGGCGACACACUGGCCCAAUACUGACGCUGAGGCUCGAAAGCGUGGGGAGCAAACAGGAUUAGAUACCCUGGUAGUCCACGCCGUAAACGAUGAGUGCUAGUUGUCGGCAGGCAUGCCUGUCGGUGACGCAGCUAACGCAUUAAGCACUCCGCCUGGGGAGUACGGUCGCAAGAUUAAAACUUAAAGGAAUUGACGGG